GACAGAGGGUGCAACCGUUGUUCGGAAUUACUGGGCGUAAAGCGAGUGUAGGCGGUUUGGUAAGUCGGAUGUGAAAGCCCCGGGCUCAACCCGGGAAGUGCACUCGAUACUGCCAAGCUAGAGUAUCGGAGAGGUUGGUGGAAUUCUCGGUGUAGAGGUGAAAUUCGUAGAUAUCGAGAGGAACACCGGUGGCGAAGGCGGUUCUCUGGGCAUGUCCUGACGCUGAGGAGCGAAAGUGUGGGGAGCGAACAGG
rnacentral:rRNA from 1 species